AUGAAUAAGAGAUAUUUACAGAAAGCAACAAAAGAAAAACUGCUAAUAAUAAUAUUUGUUGUAACACUGUGGGGGAAAUUAGCAUCUGGUGCGAAUCACCACAAAGCUCACCAUGUUAAAACUGGGACCUGUGAAGUGGUGGCGCUCCACAGAUGUUGUAAUAAGAACAAGAUAGAAGAAAGGUCGCAGACGGUGAAGUGCUCCUGCUUCCCUGGGCAGGUAGCAGGUACCACCCGAGCAGCUCCUUCUUGUGUUGAUGCUUCAAUAGUGGAGCAGAAAUGGUGGUGCCACAUGCAACCAUGUCUUGAAGGGGAAGAAUGUAAAGUUCUUCCAGAUCGGAAGGGAUGGAGCUGUUCCUCUGGGAAUAAAGUGAAAACAACUAGGGCAAACGUGUAAAACUCUUCAAGUCCGAAUGGAGAAGUAGAAAAAGGAGGUUUCUGCUGUGCCUGAUGACAAUUUUUGAUUUUUCCACACAUACAAAAUAUUCUGGCUCCACGUUGGAGCACUAGUUGUGAUGAAUCCUAGUCUUGGUCAGAUUCUAAGGAAGGGCCAGACGUUCGUUGAGGAACAAAGAGUCAAACCACUCCAGAAAAUGUGUUCCAGCCCUGGUUUAUUACUCACAGAGCUGCAGGUAACCCGAUAACUAAAGACAAAUCAAGUCCACCUUGAGGCUGGUAACAUUAAACACAUCGCCCAGGAAUUUCAUUUCUCCAUGAAAUCUUUGAAGUGAAAUUUUAUACUGCUGGGGUGUAUCCUUCAGAAUCAAUUGUUUCAGUGUGAACCUGGCAUGUGAUCAGCAACAGCCUCAAGAUCAAAAACACUACUUAGAACUGUGUCACAAAGAUUUCAACUGAUUGAAAUGUGUACACUUGUAAAAUUGCACUUGCGGAGGAAUUUGCAGCU